UACGAAGGGGGCUAGCGUUGUUCGGAAUUACUGGGCGUAAAGCGCACGUAGGCGGAUCUUUAAGUCAGGGGUGAAAUCCUGGAGCUCAACUCCAGAACUGCCUUUGAUCCUGGGGAUCUCGAGUCCGGAAGAGGUGAGUGGAACUCCGAGUGUAGAGGUGAAAUUCGUAGAUAUUCGCAAGAACACCAGUGGCGAAGGCGGCUCACUGGCCCGAUACUGACGCUGAGGCACGAAAGCGUGGGGAGCAAACAGG
rnacentral:rRNA from 1 species